rnacentral:rRNA from 1 species
AGAACGAACGCUGGCGGCAUGCCUAAUACAUGCAAGUCGAACGAACUCUUCGGAGUUAGUGGCGCACGGGUGCGUAACGCGUGGGAAUCUGCCCCUUGGUUCGGAAUAACAGUUGGAAACGACUGCUAAUACCGGAUGAUGACGAAAGUCCAAAGAUUUAUCGCCAAGGGAUGAGCCCGCGUAGGAUUAGCUAGUUGGUGAGGUAAAGGCUCACCAAGGCAACGAUCCUUAGCUGGUCUGAGAGGAUGAUCAGCCACACUGGGACUGAGACACGGCCCAGACUCCUACGGGAGGCAGCAGUAGGGAAUAUUGGACAAUGGGCGAAAGCCUAAAUCCAAGCAAUGCCGCGUGAGUGAUGAAGGCUUAGGUUGUAAAGCUCUUUACCGAGAUGAUAAUGACAGUAUCGGAGAAUAAGCCCCGGCUAACUCCGUGCCAGCAGCCGC